rnacentral:tRNA from 1 species
AGGAUAAUAGUUAAAUUAACAUUUAAGUUGCAUUUAGAAAUUAUUGGGUGUUAUCCCAAUUUAUCUUU